rnacentral:rRNA from 1 species
GACGAACGCUGGCGGCGUGCUUAACACAUGCCAGUCGAACGGAAAGGCCCUGCUUUUGUGGGGUGCUCGAGUGGCGAACGGGUGAGUAACACGUGAGUAACCUGCCCUUGACUUUGUGAUAACUUCAGGAAACUGGGGCUAAUACCGGAUAGGAGCUCCUGCUGCAUGGUGGGGGUUGGAAAGUUUCGGCGGUUGGGGAUGGACUCGCGGCUUAUCAGCUUGUUGGUGGGGUAGUGGCUUACCAAGGCUUUGACGGGUAGCCGGCAUGAGAGGGUGACCGGGCAAAAUGGGACGGAGAGAGGGACCAGACUGCAACGGGAGGCAGCAGUGGGGAAUAUUGCAGAAUGGGCGGAAGCAUGAUGCAGCAACGCGGCGAGCGGGAUGACGGUCUUCGGGUUGAAAACCGAGUUCGACUGAGACGAAGAGUGAGUGACGGUAAUGGGUAAAGAAGCACCGGCUAACUACGUG